UACGUAGGGUGCGAGCGUUGUCCGGAAUUAUUGGGCGUAAAGAGCUCGUAGGCGGUGUGUCGCGUCGGCCGUGAAAACCUGGGGCUUAACUCUGGGCGUGCGGUCGAUACGGGCAUCACUGGAGUUCGGCAGGGGAGACUGGAACUCCUGGUGUAGCGGUGAAAUGCGCAGAUAUCAGGAGGAACACCGGUGGCGAAGGCGGGUCUCUGGGCCGAUACUGACGCUGAGGAGCGAAAGCAUGGGUAGCGAACAGG
rnacentral:rRNA from 1 species